rnacentral:rRNA from 1 species
CCUACGGGCGGCAGCAGUGGGGAACAUUGGACAAUGGGGGCAACCCUGAUCCAGCCAUGCCGCGUGUGUGAAGAAGGCCCUCGGGUUGUAAAGCACUUUCAGUGAGGAAGAACGCCUGGUGGUUAAUACCCAUCAGGAAAGACAUCACUCACAGAAGAAGCACCGGCUAACUCCGUGCCAGCAGCCGCGGUAAUACGGAGGGUGCGAGCGUUAAUCGGAAUUACUGGGCGUAAAGCGCGCGUAGGUGGCUUGAUAAGCCGGUUGUGAAAGCCCCGGGCUCAACCUGGGAACGGCAUCCGGAACUGUCAAGCUAGAGUGCAGGAGAGGAAGGUAGAAUUCCCGGUGUAGCGGUGAAAUGCGUAGAGAUCGGGAGGAAUACCAGUGGCGAAGGCGGCCUUCUGGACUGACACUGACACUGAGGUGCGAAAGCGUGGGUAGCAAACAGGAUUAGAUACCCGUGUAGUC